GACGAACGCUGGCGGCGUGCCUAAUACAUGCAAGUUGAGCGCUGAAGGUUGGUACUUGUACCAACUGGAUGAGCAGCGAACGGGUGAGUAACGCGUGGGGAAUCUGCCUUUGAGCGGGGGACAACAUUUGGAAACGAAUGCUAAUACCGCAUAAAAACUUUAAACACAAGUUUUAAGUUUGAAAGAUGCAACUGCAUCACUCAAAGAUGAUCCCGCGUUGUAUUAGCUAGUUGGUGAGGUAAAGGCUCACCAAGGCGAUGAUACAUAGCCGACCUGAGAGGGUGGUCGGCCACAUUGGGACUGAGGCACGGCCCAAACUCCUACGGGAGGCAGCAGUAGGGAAUCUUCGGCAAUGGACGAAAGUCUGACCGAGCAACGCCGCGUGAGUGAAGAAGGUUUUCGGAUCGUAAAACUCUGUUGGUAGAGAAGAACGUUGGUGAGAGUGGAAAGCUCAUCAAGUGACGGUAACUACCCAGAAAGGGACGGCUAACUACGUG
rnacentral:rRNA from 1 species